GAGGAGCGUGUGUCUCGACACAGGGAUCACCGUCAUCACGGAAGCGAGAGGUACCAAGAAAGCUCGGGAAGAGAAGGAGUGAGAGACAGACAUCGAGAAAGAAGACACAGAGACAGGAAUGAACAACACAGAUCCUCACGCAGUGGGAGCAGUAGGAGGCGUCAUGAUAGUGAUGACGCAGAUAGCCACAGGAGACACAGGCACAAACGCUCUAAACACAACCGAGGAAGCCUUGAGCCCAGCGAGGAGUGCAAUGUGGACCAGGAGAACCAGUCAGAGGCCACAGAAUAACUCCCUGGCCAGCUGUGUACCUGGGUAGCUGGAGCCAGGACACCCAGAGGGGGGAGUAGUCAUCAUUAGGCGGGAGUAGUUUG